rnacentral:rRNA from 1 species
AUUGAACGCUGGCGGCAGGCCUAACACAUGCAAGUCGAGCGGAUGAAGGGAGCUUGCUCCUGGAUUCAGCGGCGGACGGGUGAGUAAUUCCUAGGAAUCUGCCUGGUAGUGGGGGAUAACGUCCGGAAACGGGCGCUAAUACCGCAUACGUCCUGAGGGAGAAAGUGGGGGAUCUUCGGACCUCACGCUAUCAGAUGAGCCUAGGUCGGAUUAGCUAGUUGGUGGGGUAAAGGCCUACCAAGGCGACGAUCCGUAACUGGUCUGAGAGGAUGAUCAGUCACACUGGAACUGAGACACGGUCCAGACUCCUACGGGAGGAACCAGUGGGGAAUAUUGGACAUUGGGCGAAAGCCUGAUCCAGCCAUGCCGGGUGGGUGAAGAAGGUCUUCGGAUUGUAAAGCACUUUAAGUUGGGGGGAAGGGCAGUAAGUUAAUACCUUGCUGUUUUGACGUUACCAACAGAAUAAGCACCGGCUAACUUCGUG